rnacentral:snRNA from 1 species
GUGUUGUUUGAAAAGAGAGAAGAUUAGCACUCCCCUUGCGCAGGAUCGAAGAGGUCCUAGUGGCCUUUCCACCACAUGAGAAGUAGUACGGCCUAAU